rnacentral:misc_RNA from 1 species
GAAAAUUGGCUGGAAGAAGAAGUGAAGAAGAAUUGAAGAAUGCAUUUUUUUAUAACCAAAGACCAAACCAAAAACCAACAUUAACACAAACACAAAAUAAAAUACAAGUAUUAUAACUGGUCUUAACAGAAAACUGCAGAAGACACAAUUUUCCUUUUAUAUUUAAUAAGGUUUUUAAUCAUUCAAUCUAAUAAUUUGUAGUUAUUUCAAAUUUUGAUUGCAAUAUAAAAACGCAAAUGGAUAUAAAACAAGAGGUUAGUGAGAUUUAUAAAGUGGAAAUGCAUAAUGAGAUGGAUGAUGGUUUCUUGACUAAUUGUAAAAUUGAAAUUCAGGAGGAAUUCAAGAAAGAAAGCGUACAUGAUACAUUUGUUUAUUCAGACUCACAGCAAUUCUCCACAAAGAUUGAAGUAAAAGAAGAUGAAAGCAAACUUAAACCCAUUGAAGAAAUAGCAACAAAUAAUGAAAAUGGUAUCUAUCAAAAACUAAAGAACAAACAAAUGUAAUUUCCAGGGUCAAAGGAAACAUUAAGGAAAACGAUAAUUGGAUUAAGCUUUAGACUUUCUUCAAGAAGAGGAUACACUGGAGGGUAAAAUACCUAUACAUUCAAACAAUAAAAAACAUGUAAAUCGACAUGCUGAAGAAAAAGCAAUACAAUGUGAAAUAUGUUUUAAACAGUUUUCCAGAAAAAA